rnacentral:lncRNA from 1 species
GUUAGGCUGGAGUGGGGGCACGGGACAGCCUCUCCAGAGGGGAAGAAAAGCUGAGGGUCCCUCAGCUAAGUGAUUAGCUGCGGAAGGGCCACAACCACUCGCGUAAAGACAUGCAAACCCUCCACCCUCAUCGCACAUGGAUCUUGGGUUGGAAUAGAACCCGCGACCGCGCGGGAUUGCCAACCCCAUCCCCCUCACCUGGCUCUGGUCUCAGGGCGCAUGCGCCCCUGGCUAUCUCCCGCCCGGAUUAUGACCAAGGGAGGUAGGAUGGAGGUGGAGUUAGGGUGGGACCAGAGCUGUGCCUAGGCGGGCUCUACUACGUGUUGGAUGCGUGGCCGCCUCUUGUGCUGUCGCCUGACGUCAGGGCCCCGGUGGCGCGUUCUGUAGGGACCCAAGUGAAUGUGGGCGGGCAGUGGUCACUUUGGGGGCUGGCCGGGAGGUGGGAAGAUUGAGGGGAGGAAAGGGAUUUCUAAGCCUGCUUUUGUGGUAGCCGGCUUCUGUGGGUUCUGCGAGGAGAGUGCCCCUCUUCGGCCCAUGGACAAACCCUUCCCUUUGGAGACAGACAUCAGCCCCCGCGAGGAGGCCAAGGGGGCCCGAGACCGAACUCCUCGACUGCUGCAGAUGAGGAAACUGAGAUCCAGAGAGGUGGAGUGACUUAGCUGCUCAGGGUCACAUCGAGCAAGUCUGAACCUCUCCACACUUGCCUGGGCUAGUUUGAAGAUGAUUGACACAAGUGCAUGCAUCAGGCCAUGCUUGAAGCCAUCAGAGCUUGCAAUAUGGCUGAUAGGACCUUUGGAAAUCCAACAUCACCUCCAUACAAUGAUGAGGCAAUAGCCAUGGACUUUAGUAGAG